rnacentral:misc_RNA from 1 species
AUUUUACUGCGAAGCUAUGGACGUGGUGAUUCAUAAGCAAAAAAAGGUAAUAUGGCAGGUGUGUUAGACCACGAAGAAGUUCAAGUACAGAGUGUAAUGCCAUGCGACACCUGCGAAAAUGCAGCAGAACACCUUUGCAAGACAUGCCACGAUAAGCUUUGCAGCAGAUGCAAGGGCAUUCACACAAAAAGUAAAUCUUCAUUUGACCACGAGGUAACUUUGCUAACAUUUGAGUCCUUGUCACUAUUGAACGAAGUGCCUUCUGUACAAGUCUGUAGGUCACAUCCAGGUUUUCGCACUAACGUCUGCUGCAAAGAAUGCGAGAUUCCAAUUUGUGAAAAAUGUUUAGUCUUUGAGCACAAUGGCCAUAAGGUGAUAUUGACCGAAGAGCUUUAUAUUCAAAAGAAAAAGAAACUCGACCAAAAGUUCGAAUUUCUGCAAUCAGAAUUACCAAAAUAUCAAAGUUAUUUAGAUGAACUAAUAAAGGAUGAAACGAUAAAUGAAAAACAAUGUGAAACCCUUGAAACUCAAAUUGUCGCUCAUUUUAAGGAGACUCGCUUAAAACUUGAGUUGGAGGAAAAACAUCUCUUACAAAUUGCUAAAUCAAAACAGAAACAGGAACAUUGCAGAAUUCAAAUUCAAAAGAAACAUGUUUCAGAAUGCAUGGCCAAAGUGCAAUCAUUUAUUUCAAAGUAUCAAAAUGAAAUUGCGUCCGAAAGACAUGCAUUUAUUUUGUAUGCAGACGUCCCAAAAGAAACACAAGAUUCCGAGGCAUUUCAGCGUUCUCCAUUCCCGCACGCACUGCAAUUCAUUAAAGGGACAGUGGAUGAUGAGCUCUUUAUACAGUUGUCGGGUAAAAUAACUUUAGAUACUUUAAACACAGCAGGCACUCAUCUUAUUCAUAGCAUGAUGGAAUUAGAGGUGUUCCGAGUUGGACAAGGAUCUGUACAGUCGCUAACGUACGACAUAAAUGAUGACGCAUUUUGGGUCGUCUUUUAAAAAGUACAAUCGGUCGGGUAUUGUUAUCUUUGAAGUGACAACAGAGGUUGCCCAUCUAAGAAAUCAACCGAUUUGCCUAGCUGAUGGAAGUGUUCUGUUUAGAAAAAAGAGAUGCCUUUUGACCCAGUUAAACAAAAACGGAGAGGAAACCGUUUUCUUAGAUUUUGAUGCUGCUUAUCCAAUUUGCAUGUACUGUCCCGAAGAAAACACAGGGGUCGUGAUCGGAAUCAUUAAUUCGGAACUUACGGAGGGAAAACUAUCAAAAUAUGACAAACAUGGUCACUGUACCAAUGAAAUAAAAAAUUCUUUAUUAUUUAAGAACUUAGUGUCAAGUAAAACAAAAUGUCGAGGACUUUCAGCUUACAUUGCGGAAAAUAUAAAUGGAGACAUCUGUAUUUCUCACAAAGAUGUAGAUGUAUUCGACAAAAAAGGAAACUUUCGUUUUUCUUACUAUGGUCACAGGAAUACAAAUCUCGAAUUUCAGCCAAGAGGUAUUUGUACUGAUACACUAGGACACAUCGUGGUGGCGGACGCAGGAAAUCAUUCUGUACAUGUAUUGGAUGGUAAUGGUAAUCUUCAGAAACUGUAUGACGUUUCAUCGAAAGAAAACGACUUUAAGCCAAUCACGCUGACAGUUGAUGCCAAUUACUCCCUUUGUAUUGGAUGCUCGGAUGGAAAAAUAAGAAUCUUUAAAUAUAUUGAAUAAAAGGAUGACAUGCUGUAAGGAAAACACUUACAUGUAUUUGUUGUUUUGAUCUUGAACUUGAGAACAAUGUGUUGUAGCAAUUAUUGCAAGUAUAAAGCAUUUUUAAGCUUGAAAGAACUGAGUUACUUGUACAUUUAUGUAUUCAAAUAUACAAUGUAUUUUCCUUUAAGAAAAUUAAAUGCUAGCCAAGGAUGCCUUUAGACAAGCGA